GCACUGAUUACAGGUGAGCGGCACCCACCAGUGUGGCAACCUCUUGCCACGAUCAGGAAGCGAGAACUUUCUGAGCCAGAACCCAGGGUAUUCUGACCUAACUGGAUACAUUCUGACUACUUCAAAGUUCUCCAGACCAGAAGAUAGCUCAGCAGCACAGUGUUGGCCUGGCAAGCAUAACGUCCCAGGCUCAAUUCCCAAAACAAAAAAAGAGAAAGAAACCACAUCGGAAGUUAAAUUGCUGGGGCCAGGGAGAUGGCUCAGUGGAAU